rnacentral:rRNA from 1 species
UGACCUCAAAUCAGGUAGGACUACCCGCUGAACUUAAGCAUAUCAAUAAGCGGAGGAAAAGAAACUAACAAGGAUUCCCCUAGUAACUGCGAGUGAAGCGGGAAAAGCUCAAAUUUAAAAUCUGGCAGUCUUUUGGCUGUCCGAGUUGUAAUCUAGAGAAGUGUUAUCCGCGCUG